rnacentral:rRNA from 1 species
AGCGUACACGGUGGAUGCCCUGGCAGUCAGAGGCGAUGAAGGACGUGCUAAUCUGCGAAAAGCGUCGGUAAGGUGAUAUGAACCGUUACAGCCGGCGAUGUCCGAAUGGGGAAACCCAGUGCAAUUCGUUGCACUAUCGUUAACUGAAUACAUAGGUUAACGAGGCGAACCGGGGGAACUGAAACAUCUAAGUACCCCGAGGAAAAGAAAUCAACCGAGAUUCCCCCAGUAGCGGCGAGCGAACGGGGAGCAGCCCAGAGUCUGAAUCAGCUUGUGUGUUAGUGGAACGGUCUGGAAAGUCCGACGGUACAGGGUGAUAGUCCCGUACACCAAAAUGCACAGGUUGUGAACUCGAAGAGUAGGGCGGGACACGUGGUAUCCUGUCUGAAUAUGGGGGGACCAUCCUCCAAGGCUAAAUACUCCUGACUGACCGAUAGUGAACCAGUACCGUGAGGGAAAGGCGAAAAGAACCCCGGCGAGGGGAGUGAAAAAGAACCUGAAACCGUGUACGUACAAGCAGUGGGAGCACCUUCGGGUGUGACUGCGUACCUUUUGUAUAAUGGGUCAGCGACUUAUAUUCUGUAGCAAGGUUAACCGUAUAGGGGAGCCGCAGGGAAACCGAGUCUUAACUGGGCGUUAAGUUGCAGGGUAUAGACCCGAAACCCGGUGAUCUAGCCAUGGGCAGGUUGAAGGUUGGGUAACACUAACUGGAGGACCGAACCGACUAAUGUUGAAAAAUUAGCGGAUGACUUGUGGCUGGGGGUGAAAGGCCAAUCAAACCGGGAGAUAGCUGGUUCUCCCCGAAAGCUAUUUAGGUAGCGCCUCGUGAACUCAUCUUCGGGGGUAGAGCACUGUUUCGGCUAGGGGGUCAUCCCGACUUACCAACCCGAUGCAAACUACGAAUACCGAAGAAUGUUAUCACGGGAGACACACGGCGGGUGCUAACGUCCGUCGUGAAGAGGGAAACAACCCAGACCGCCAGCUAAGGUCCCAAAGUCAUGGUUAAGUGGGAAACGAUGUGGGAAGGCACAGACAGCCAGGAUGUUGGCUUAGAAGCAGCCAUCAUUUAAAGAAAGCGUAAUAGCUCACUGGUCGAGUCGGCCUGCGCGGAAGAUGUAACGGGGCUAAACCAUGCACCGAAGCUGCGGCAGCGACACUAUGUGUUGUUGGGUAGGGGAGCGUUCUGUAAGCCUGCGAAGGUGUGCUGUGAGGCAUGCUGGAGGUAUCAGAAGUGCGAAUGCUGACAUAAGUAACGAUAAAGCGGGUGAAAAGCCCGCUCGCCGGAAGACCAAGGGUUCCUGUCCAACGUUAAUCGGGGCAGGGUGAGUCGACCCCUAAGGCGAGGCCGAAAGGCGUAGUCGAUGGGAAACAGGUUAAUAUUCCUGUACUUGGUGUUACUGCGAAGGGGGGACGGAGAAGGCUAUGUUAGCCGGGCGACGGUUGUCCCGGUUUAAGCAUGUAGGCUGGUUGUCCAGGCAAAUCCGGAUAAUCAAGGCUGAGGUGUGAUGACGAGGCACUACGGUGCUGAAGUAACAAAUGCCCUGCUUCCAGGAAAAGCCUCUAAGCAUCAGGUAACAUUAAAUCGUACCCCAAACCGACACAGGUGGUCAGGUAGAGAAUACCAAGGCGCUUGAGAGAACUCGGGUGAAGGAACUAGGCAAAAUGGUGCCGUAACUUCGGGAGAAGGCACGCUGGUGUGUAGGUGAAGUCCCUGCGGAUGGAGCUGAGACCAGUCGAAGAUACCAGCUGGCUGCAACUGUUUAUUAAAAACACAGCACUGUGCAAACACGAAAGUGGACGUAUACGGUGUGACGCCUGCCCGGUGCCGGAAGGUUAAUUGAUGGGGUUAUCCGUAAGGAGAAGCUCUUGAUCGAAGCCCCGGUAAACGGCGGCCGUAACUAUAACGGUCCUAAGGUAGCGAAAUUCCUUGUCGGGUAAGUUCCGACCUGCACGAAUGGCGUAAUGAUGGCCAGGCUGUCUCCACCCGAGACUCAGUGAAAUUGAACUCGCUGUGAAGAUGCAGUGUACCCGCGGCAAGACGGAAAGACCCCGUGAACCUUUACUAUAGCUUGACACUGAACAUUGAGCCUUGAUGUGUAGGAUAGGUGGGAGGCUUUGAAGCGUGGACGCCAGUCUGCGUGGAGCCAACCUUGAAAUACCACCCUUUAAUGUUUGAUGUUCUAACGUUGGCCCCUUACCGGGGUUGCGGACAGUGUCUGGUGGGUAGUUUGACUGGGGCGGUCUCCUCCCAAAGCGUAACGGAGGAGCACGAAGGUUAGCUAAUCCUGGUCGGACAUCAGGAGGUUAGUGCAAUGGCAUAAGCUAGCUUGACUGCGAGCGUGACGGCGCGAGCAGGUGCGAAAGCAGGUCAUAGUGAUCCGGUGGUUCUGAAUGGAAGGGCCAUCGCUCAACGGAUAAAAGGUACUCCGGGGAUAACAGGCUGAUACCGCCCAAGAGUUCAUAUCGACGGCGGUGUUUGGCACCUCGAUGUCGGCUCAUCACAUCCUGGGGCUGAAGUAGGUCCCAAGGGUAUGGCUGUUCGCCAUUUAAAGUGGUACGCGAGCUGGGUUUAGAACGUCGUGAGACAGUUCGGUCCCUAUCUGCCGUGGGCGCUGGAGAAUUGAGGGGGGCUGCUCCUAGUACGAGAGGACCGGAGUGGACGCAUCACUGGUGUUCGGGUUGUCAUGCCAAUGGCACUGCCCGGUAGCUAAAUGCGGAAGAGAUAAGUGCUGAAAGCAUCUAAGCACGAAACUUGCCCCGAGAUGAGUUCUCCCUGAGACUNAAUGUGUGUUCGAGUCUCUCAAAUUUUCGCAAUCAGAAGUGAAACAUCUUCGGGUUGU